UACGAAGGGGGCGAGCGUUGUUCGGAUUUACUGGGCGUAAAGGGCGCGCAGGCGGUUCUGUUUGUCGAGUGUGAAAGCCCCGGGCUCAACCUGGGAACUGCGCUCGAAACGGCGGAACUAGAGUUCGGGAGAGGAGAGUGGAAUUCCCAGUGUAGAGGUGAAAUUCGUAGAUAUUGGGAAGAACACCGGUGGCGAAGGCGGCCAACUGGACCACAACUGACGCUGAGGCGCGAAAGCGUGGGGAGCAAACAGG
rnacentral:rRNA from 1 species